GGAGCGGAACCGCUGCAAAGCAGUGCAGGAGAGAGCAGAGGAGGGACAACAUCUGCUCCUAGAUAGACCCCAGGAAACUUGUGCCCUUGAAAUGAGGGAGGAAGACGGGACAUUGAAUAUGAUGACUGAAGUUACAGGAGCAAUGAAGAAAAAAUGGCAGCAAGUCACGUGCAUCUUUUUUUGUGCUGAUCCCAACCUACACAUUUAUCAAGAGUGCAUGAAAGUCUGUGUGUUUGGUACCCUGCAGAAUCAGGUCUGCCAUGUGUUCUGGCAGUUUUCUCAUGGACUAAAAUUUGCUUUCUCACAAUA